UUCACUUCAGUGUCAUAUAUCCUAAAACAAAUGAUACAAAGAAGAUGAGCAUGGCUCCUUUGCAAGAAUGACACCAAAAUUCAUAAAGCAUUCUAUUUUUUU
rnacentral:snRNA from 1 species